rnacentral:rRNA from 1 species
UCGGGAAUUUUGCACAAUGGCCGAAAGGCUGAUGCAGCAACGCCGCGUGAGCGAAGAAGGCCUUCGGGUUGUAAAGCUCUGUUGCCUGCGAAGAAGGGCCCUGUCAGGAAAUGGGCGGGGUUUGACGGUAGCAGGCGAGGAAGCCCCGGCAAACUACGUGCCAGCAGCCGCGGUAAUACGUAGGGGGCGAGCGUUGUCCGGAAUUACUGGGCGUAAAGGGCGUGUAGGCGGCCUGUUAAGUCAGGGGUGAAAGACCGGGGCUCAACCCCGGGGGUGCCUCUGAAACUGGCGGGCUGGAGUGCUCUAGAGGGCAGUGGAAUUCCCGGUGUAGCAGUGAAAUGCGUAGAGAUCGGGAGGAACACCAGUGGCGAAGGCGGCUGCCUGGGGAGUCACUGACGCUGAGGCGCGAAAGCUAGGGGAGCAAACAGG